rnacentral:ncRNA from 2 species
AUCUUAUCCUGAGUUGGUGGAGGGACAGGCCCAAAGAAACCCGGCAACCGUCACUAUAUAUAUGGUGAAAUGGUGCUAACCUGUUGCAAGGUGAGAAGCCUUGAACGAUAAGAG